rnacentral:rRNA from 1 species
GUCCACGCCAUAAACGAUGGGCACUAGGUGUUCGGGGUAUUGACCCCCUGAGUGCCGCAGCUAACGCAUUAAGUGCCCCGCCUGGGGACUACGGCCGCAAGGUUAAAACUCAAAGGAAUUGACGGGGGCCCGCACAAGCGGUGGAGCAUGUGGUUUAAUUCGACGCAACGCGAAGAACCUUACCUGGGCUAGACAACAUCGGACAUCCCUAGAAAUAGGGCUUCCCCGCAAGGGGCCGUGGUUCAGGUGCUGCAUGGCUGUCGU